rnacentral:rRNA from 1 species
UACGGAGGGUGCAAGCGUUAAUCGGAAUUACUGGGCGUAAAGCGUGCGUAGGCGGUUCGUUAAGUCUGUUGUGAAAGCCCCGGCUCAACCUGGGAAUGGCAAUGGAUACUGGCGAGCUAGAGUGUGUCAGAGGAUGGUGGAAUUCCCGGUGUAGCGGUGAAAUGCGUAGAUAUCGGAAGGAACACCAGUGGCGAAAGCGGCUUCCUGGUCCAGCACCGACGUUCAGGCACGAAAGCGUGGGGAGCAAACAGG